rnacentral:rRNA from 1 species
UACGAAGGGGGCUAGCGUUGUUCGGAAUUACUGGGCGUAAAGCGCGCGCAGGCGGUCCUUUAAGUCAGGGGUGAAAGCCCAGAGCUCAACUCUGGAACUGCCUUUGAAACUAGAGGACUUGGGUACGGGAGAGGUGAGUGGAAUUCCGAGUGUAGAGGUGAAAUUCGUAGAUAUUCGCAAGAACACCAGUGGCGAAGGCGGCUCACUGGCCCGGUACUGACGCUGAGGUGCGAAAGCGUGGGGAGCAACAGGG